rnacentral:rRNA from 1 species
UACGGAGGGGGCUAGCGUUGUUCAGAAUUACUGGGCGUAAAGCGUGCGUAGGCGGUUGUUUAAGUCAGAUGUGAAAGCCCUGGGCUUAACCUGGGAACUGCAUUUGAUACUGGGCAACUAGAGUUUAGUAGAGGGGAGUGGAAUUUCAGGUGUAGCGGUGAAAUGCGUAGAGAUCUGAAGGAACACCAGUGGCGAAGGCGACUUCCUGGACCAAUACUGACGCUCAGGUGCGAAAGCGUGGGGAGCAAACAGG